rnacentral:rRNA from 1 species
AGCGAACGCUGGCGGCAGGCCUAACACAUGCAAGUCGAACGGACCCUUCGGGGUUAGUGGCGGACGGGUGAGUAACACGUGGGAACGUGCCUUUAGGUUCGGAAUAGCUCCUGGAAACGGGUGGUAAUGCCGAAUGUGCCCUUUGGGGGAAAGAUUUAUCGCCUUUAGAGCGGCCCGCGUCUGAUUAGCUAGUUGGUGAGGUAAAGGCUCACCAAGGCGACGAUCAGUAGCUGGUCAGAGAGGAUGACCAGCCACAUUGGGACUGAGACACGGCCCAAACUCCUACGGGAGGCAGCAGUGGGGAAUCUUGCGCAAUGGGCGAAAGCCUGACGCAGCCAUGCCGCGUGAAUGAUGAAGGUCUUAGGAUUGUAAAAUUCUUUCACCGGGGACGAUAAUGACGGUACCCGGAGAAGAAGCCCCGGCUAACUUCGUGCCAGCAGCCGCCGUAACAC